CCUUCCCUCUCUUGAUCCCCCCACCCCUCGCUGCCCCCCAGCACGCCCUGCGCCGCACACUUGGCGCGCGCACUCAGCAGUCGGAUGAGCCCGGCAGACGAAUUGAUCUCCUGAGCCCUGCUUGUCUCCCGGCGCGGAACCCAAGGGUGAAGAUACCCUAACUAAAUCCCCAAGAGCCCAGGCCAUAACUGAAGACACACAGGGCCUAGUCAUCCAGUUUCCUAAAAAGACAUGGACUGGCACUACUCUUCAGUGGCUCCCACAAAAUCAAGUCUGUCCACACAGGGCAUGGAGAACUUCACCACCUCAGCAGUGCUGAUUGAGGAACCGACUGAUAACUUUUUACUGCUGUUGGGCUGUAUCAUUGGAGGUGCCCUGCUUUUUCUUUUCCUCGUCAUCAUCAUCAUCUAUGUCAUACGGAAGAGGAUGAGACGAUAUUCCCUCUGAGUUCCUGUGUAUUGAGUCAUCAAGAGGGUGUCACGCCAUUUGCUUUCAGAUGGAAUGCACUGAGCAGCUGUGUUCUUGAGAUCCUACUGCAAGCCCAUCAUCCAUUUAGUAAGCCUGCUUUUCCCGCUGAAGCAACAAAACGUGUCCACCUGGAAGAGGCUAUGGCUAGCUGCUUCAAGAGGAGGACGUAAUGCUCUGCUACUCCUGCAUCCUGGACCUAAAAACAUUCAUUUAAGCAGCAGAACAUUCAGCAUGAACUGGUGAUGUUCUUAAGCAGUCUGUUUCUACAGUAAGUCUGAAUAAGGCUCUGUCUGCCCAGAACUUAUUAAACACACACAGGUGGUA